rnacentral:sRNA from 1 species
GAGAGAGAGAGAGAGAGAGAGAGAGAGAACGUGGGUUAAGAGAGUAUUUUAGUUAAGAGGUCAUUUUAGUAAAAAAUCAUAGAGAAAGUGUCUACUCAUUUGGAAGUGCCUAAACACGGAAAUAGUUUUUAAAAAGUGUCUAAGAGUGUAAUAUUCUCUUGAAGAAAUUGGGGAUGUUACAGUUUGUUUUCACUUAUAGACCAUAUUAAUAUAAUCUUAUUAUGUCCAGAUGACUUUUACUGAAAGACCAGGUAUAAGAAUUAAUAUAUCACCUUCAGAAAAUAGGAAUGAGAGAAGUUCUGGUGCCUGCAAAUGAUUCAAACGAAGGUCAUUAAGAUCCAGA